rnacentral:rRNA from 1 species
AACGAACGCUGGCGGCAUGCCUAACACAUGCAAGUCGAACGAAGCCUUCGGGCUUAGUGGCGCACGGGUGCGUAACGCGUGGGAAUCUGCCCUUGGGUUCGGAAUAACAGUUAGAAAUGACUGCCAAUACCGGAUGAUGUCUUCGGACCAAAGAUUUAUCGCCCAAGGAUGAGCCCGCGUAGGAUUAGGUAGUUGGUGGGGUAAUGGCCCACCAAGCCGACGAUCCUUAGCUGGUCUGAGAGGAUGAUCAGCCACACUGGGACUGAGACACGGCACAGACUCCUACGGGAGGCAGCAGUGGGGAAUAUUGGACAAUGGGCGAAAGCCUGAUCCAGCAAUGCCGCGUGAGUGAUGAAGGCCUUAGGGUUGUAAAGCUCUUUUACCAGGGAUGAUAAUGACAGUACCUGGAGAAUAAGCUCCGGCUAACUCCGUGCCAGCAGCCGCCGCGG